rnacentral:rRNA from 1 species
AUGAAGUUCAUGAAGCUCGGCUCCAAGCCGGACGCCUUCCAGGCCGACGGCGGCGGCGACUCCAGAUCAUACUCCCGCAGAUACGUGCUGUCCGACCUGCCGUCAGACAUCGUCGUCCAUGUCGACGACGCAAGGUUCUACCUGCACAAGUUUCCUCUGCUGUCCAAGAGCAGCCUGCUGCAGCGGCUGAUCGUGGAGGCAAGCCAGGGCGGCGCCGACGAGGUGCGCGUCGACGGCCUGCCCGGCGGCGCGAGGGCCUUCGAGAUCUGCGCCAAGUUCUGCUACGGCAUGGUCGUCACGCUCAACCCGUACAACGUGGUCGCCGCGCGGUGCGCGGCGGAGCACCUGGGCAUGACGGAGGACGUGGACAAGAGCAACCUCGUGUUCAAGAUCGAGGUGUUCCUCAACUCGGGCGUCUUCCGGAGCUGGAAGGACUCCAUCAUCGCGCUGCAGAGCACCAUCGCGCUGCUGCCGUGGUCCGAGGACCUCAGGCUCGUCGCGCGCUGCGUCGACUCCAUCGCCGCCAAGGCCACGGCCAGCCCCGGGAGCGUGGUGUGGUCCUACACGUACAACCGCAAGGCGGCGUCGUCUGAUGAGAUCGUCGAGGCUCGCCGGUGCUCGUCGUCGUCGCCGGCGGUGCCGCGGGACUGGUGGGUGGAGGACCUGUGCGAGCUGGACGUGGAGCUCUACAAGCGCGUCAUGGUGGCGAUCAAGUCCAGAGGGGAUAGGCUGCCUUCUGAUGUUGUCGGGGAAGCUCUUAGGGCCUACGCCGCGAGGUGGCUCCCGGAGAGCUGCCGGCGCGGUGAUACCCCGGCAGACGACGACGAUGCCUGCGCCAUGGAAGUGCUCGAGACCAUAGUGUGGCUGAUGCCGUCGGACGGCGAUGGGUCGUCGCCGUGCGGCUGCUCCUGCCAGUUCCUCCUGAACCUGCUGAAGCUCGCCGUCCUGGUCGGGGCAGGGGAGCUGCUGAGGGAGGAGCUCAUGGACAGGAUCGUCCUGCAGCUGCCCGAGGCUUCGGUGAGCGACCUCCUGAUACCCGCCAAGCCGCCGGCGCAGACCACCUACGACGUCGAGCUUGUCGAGGCGCUCGUCGGCCGGUACAUUCGGCGCGCCGGACUCGACGACAUUGACGGGGAUGAUGUGUUUGAGACGAACGGGGAGGCAGACGACCCUUCCUUGCUGGCGCUGUGCAAGCUCGUCGACGGGUACCUGGCCGAGGUCGCCGCCGACCCGAACCUGCCGGUGUCGAGCUUCGUCGGGCUGGCGACCUCCAUGCCCGAGUCGGCCAGGCCAUCGCACGACGCCCUGUACACCGCCAUUGAUGUCUUCCUCAAAAUGCACCCAAAUCUGUCCAAGGUGGAGAAGAGGAGGAUCUCGAGCCUGAUGGACGUGAAGAAGCUGUCCAAGGAGGCGAGCAUCCACGCGGCGCAGAACGACCGGCUCCCGCUGCGCGUGGUCGUGCAGGUGCUCUUCUUCGAGCAGAUGCGCGCGGCGGCGGGGAGCGCGAGCACGUCGCUCCUGCUGGCCGCCGCCGGCGACGGCAACGCGCACCUGGAACUGGACGACGACGACGGCGACUGCUGGAAGAACCGCGCGCUGGCGCUGGCGCUGCCGGAGCCCCCGACCCCGUCGGCGGCCCUGAGGAAGCAGAUCGGGAGCAUGAGCCUGAAGCUGGUCGGCGAGGACCGCCGCCGCGCCGAGGACGUCGUCAGUGAAGGCCGGCGCCUGGUGAGGAGCGCCAGCAUCGCGAACCAGAGCAGCAGGAUGUCGCUGUCGUCGCGGUCGCGGAGGAUCUUCGACAGGCUGUGGGUGGUCGGGAAGCCGCCGGGGCCCGGCGAGGUGGUGAGCAAGAGCUCCGACACGUCCGGGAGCUCGCAGAGCCCGCGGUCGUCGGCCAAGCCGCUAGGGUCCAACAAGUCGUCCGGCUCGUCCUCGAGGAACCGGCGGUACUCGGUGUCGUAG